GCCGACGUAGCUCAGUAGGUAGAGCAACUGAUUCGUAAUCAGUAGGUCGGGGGUUCGACUCCCUCCGUCGGCA
rnacentral:tRNA from 2 species